rnacentral:rRNA from 1 species
GAUGAACGCUGGCGGCGUGCCUAAUACAUGCAAGUCGAGCGAAUGGAUUGAGAGCUUGCUCUUAUGAAGUUAGCGGCGGACGGGUGAGUAACACGUGGGUAACCUGCCCAUAAGACUGGGAUAACUCCGGGAAACCGGGGCUAAUACCGGAUAACAUUUUGAACCGCAUGGUUCGAAAUUGAAAGGCGGCUUCGGCUGUCACUUAUGGAUGGACCCGCGUCGCAUUAGCUAGUUGGUGAGGUAACGGCUCACCAAGGCAACGAUGCGUAGCCGACCUGAGAGGGUGAGCGGCCAGACUGGGACUGAGCCACGGCCCAGACUCCUACGGGAGGCAGCAGUAGGGAAUCUUCCGCAAUGGACGAAAGUCUGACGGAGCAACGCCGCGUGAGUGAUGAAGGCUUUCGGGUCGUAAAACUCUGUUGUUAGGGAAGAACAAGUGCUAGUUGAAUAAGCUGGCACCUUGACGGUACCUAACCAGAAAGCCACGGCUAACUACGUGCCAGCCGCCGCGGUAA